UACAGAGGUCUCAAGCGUUGUUCGGAUUCACUGGGCGUAAAGGGUGCGCAGGCGGCCAAGUGUGUCAGGUGUGAAAGCUCGAGGCUUAACCUCGAAACUGCGCCUGAAACUAUUUGGCUAGAGUACUGGAGAGGGAAGUGGAAUUCACGGUGUAGCAGUGAAAUGCGUAGAUAUCGUGAGGAACACCAAUGGCGAAGGCAACUUCCUGGACAGUUACUGACGCUCAGGCACGAAAGCGUGGGGAGCAAAAGGG
rnacentral:rRNA from 1 species